UAAAGUUAAAACCCUUCUUUUUAUUUAGACAGAAAAGGGAAAUGUUCCUCUGUUAAUGAAUAAAACACUGAUUGGCUGAUUGGCCAGACAGGAAGUGACAUAGCUGGUCAGAAUUAGGAUAUAAGCAAGGGCAAAUGGGAAAUCGCUCUCUUCUCUGUGGAAAUGCUUAGGAGAUAAUUGGUUAGUUUGCCCCCCCAACCAGGACACUGGAGAAUGGGAGACUUUGAGCCCUCAGUUGUAAGUGAAUUCUCUUCAUCAAACCCCUACCCUCAAUGCUCAGGGGUUUAGGUAGAAGAGGCGUUGGAAAGAGUGUAAAAGCCGGGGGUGAUGAUGGAUGACUCCAAGGAAGCAGUGUCUGAUCCAGACACAACAGAGCCUGUGGUAGCACACACAAAGGCUUGCACAGGUUCAGGUCAGACAGGGUCCCGGCACUGAGAAGGGGAAGUGGACAUCGUCUCCUACCCCUAACCAGUCUGCAACUGAUACCCAUUGGCAAAGGAAAAAGUCAGUUUUCUCCAACAGAGUCUCAGUGGAUAUGUCUAACCACACUCCAGGGCAGGCCACAAAAUGAACCCAAUGGUAUUUUUGUAGACUUUGUGUCUCAUUUUGCUUUCUUUGGGUAUUUUUUGUCUCAUCGGUCUUUUGCUUCUUUAUUUUGAUUUCCACUUUUAUGGAGUUCUCUUUUUUUGUGUGUGUGGGGUUUCUUUGUGGUUGUUGCUUGUUUUAAAGAGGGAAAAGGAGUAUGAAGCUGGGUCAGUAGAGAGGUAGGGGAAUCUUGGAGGCGAAUCUGGGGGAGGAGGAAAACAUGAUCAAAAUAUUGCAUGAAAAUUUUAAAAAAUAAAAUACAUAUUUACUUUUUUGUUA